GCUUAUGGCCAUACCACCCUGAGCGUGCCUGAUCUCGUCUGAUCUCGGAAGCUAAGCAGGGUCAAGCCUGGUUAGUACUUGGAUGGGAGUCUGCCUGGGAGUACCAGUUGCUGUAAGCU
ensembl:rRNA 5S_rRNA 5S ribosomal RNA